rnacentral:rRNA from 1 species
UACGGAGGGGGCUAGCGUUGCUCGGAAUCACUGGGCGUAAAGGGCGCGUAGGCGGUCUUUUAAGUCGGGGGUGAAAGCCUGUGGCUCAACCACAGAAUUGCCUUCGAUACUGGGAGACUUGAGUUUGGUAGAGGUUGGUGGAACUGCGAGUGUAGAGGUGAAAUUCGUAGAUAUUCGCAAGAACACCGGUGGCGAAGGCGGCCAACUGGACCAAUACUGACGCUGAGGCGCGAAAGCUAGGGGAGCAAACAGG